rnacentral:misc_RNA from 1 species
AACCAUUCUCACCUGCGGCUAGACCUGCGGAAGGAUCAUCGUUGGUAUUUUAUUGUGUCUUGUGGACACACGUUUUCUUUCAGACCCCAACCAAGAGGAGAGGAGUUGACUGAGGCGUUUUGCGUGGAGGGAGAACAAGGACAAAACUUUUAACAACGGAUCU